UGGUUUCCUUUAUAAGCGUCUGCUGCAUUCGCUCUUUAUCAUGGUUUAAUCAAAGAUGAAACGUUUCGUAGCUAGUCACUAGCACAAACUUUCAUAAUGAUUAAUGAUUUUUUUAUUUUAAAAAUGGCUUCUUCUUCUGCUACUGUAUCACCUCUUUAGAAUUCUUCUUGCUUCUUGAGGUAUGCCCUUCACAUCACAAUUCCUUUCAAUGUAGCUGCUAAGAAAAGAAUCCAUUGGGUGGAUUCUGGUUCUUGAAAAUUUGAGCAUUUGGUGGUAAUUUAACCCUUCUAUUGUGGUUGGAUUAUCGAUAAAAGACUAAAAGAUGCCAGCUUAUCUGGUCCAACGACUCUUUACCAUGAUGACAAGCAGUAAUUGAUUUUUGCUAUAUGAAUGCAACUUCAGUUUUCUUUCUGUUUGGAAAAUCAUCAUAUCAAUGAUAUAGGUUAAAUUUCAGAUCAGUCUACGAAUACCUAUGUGAUGGAUUAGGCUUUGAUCUUAUUGGAGAUUUAGGGCUAAGAGAUAGAAAAUUGGGGUUCCUGGAUAUUCUAGAGUCUAGACUCUAUUGAAAUUGGUAUAAUAAUGUUUGACCAAAAGUUGGUUCCUUUUAUGUUUUAGAAUCAUAGAACCAUGUUGUGGUAAUUUAUUGGCUACAACUUAAAACUGAGAUAUAGGAUGGGGAGCUUUAAUGUGAGAACAGAGUAAGAAAUAGAAUGGAGUUUUGUUCUAAUGAAAGCAUGAAGUUUGUGGCUCUAUAGAUUGAGGAAGAGAAAGGAUUUUGUGUCUGUUUACAACAAUCUGAAUGAAGAUGAAACACUGUAGUGGUUAAAAGAGAAAGAGGAAAAUAUGAUCACAUGUUAAUCACUUUUCUAAUAACAUUAAACUCUAACUCCCAUGAGUUUGUUACUCAAAAUCCUGAGAGAAUAGUUAGCUUACAUAAGAAGACUAAAAGACUCUUCAGCCAUAAAUUGGGAUUGGAAGCUAUAAGUUGGGGGGAUUAUUGAUGAAUCUAAGUACUAAGAAGAUUUCAGAAUAAGUGGUAGAAAUCCUCAAAGAGAAACAAAGCUCCUAGCUACGAAUGGCACUUUCAUGCUGUUCGACAUACUCCUCUUCUUGGCAUAAGUUUAAUGGCCAAUCUUAGGUUUCAACAUCAGAUUUUUCCUUUUAGCCAUCUAAAAGAUACACAUCAAUCAUUCUGUCCAAUGUUCUAGCAUCUUAUAUUUUUCAUUCUAUAGUAUGCAAGUUGAAAGAAUGUAGCAUCUGCCACCAACUAUAGAGGAAUUCUUACAAAGUUUUAUCGGAAUUGUUUUUCUUUUGUUUAACUGAUGUUAUAUGGAUGAAGCAGAGACAGAAACAAUUUUCAAAUCAAGGGGAAAAAAGAGGUUAGAUUAUAUGUUUGUUAUAUAAAUUUGACUUGUUAGGGUCCUUUGCAUCUUCAAUUUUUGUUCCUGCCACAAAUGUAGAUUUAUCAUAUUAAUUGUUCAAUCCCUUCAUGCAAGAAGUUUAAUGCUUCAUAGAGGUCCAGCUUCUGCUUUUUUAAACCAAUUCUGUUUGUUUCUAUAAACUAGACUUUUUAAGGUAACAUCAUUUUUUUGUUGCCUAAGGUAUCCAUUUUCAACAAUUAUCCUCAUGCUUAAUGAUUUCUCAAUUUUUCUCUCCACUGAUAUUAUUUCUUAGAUCAGUUCAACUUAAAGUCAGUAUUGAGGCAAUACACAUUUUCAGUGGCUCAUUUUCCCUUCAUAGUCCAUGUAGAUAUUCUAUUGUGUAAUUGACUCUUCUAGAGGGGUAAAUUUUGCUUAUAUGCAGUAUGAAGUACAAUUUCUACAUAUAAUUUUUCUUUUUCUCUCAUUAUGUUAUUGCAUUUUUAUUAAUCGUGCUUAUGUUAUUUAUUUUGAGCAUUUCAAGACUUGUCGAUGGUGUGCUUUUUAUUGUAGGUUAUGAUUGUGAGUACCAAAGAACUCUAUGACUUUGUUUGUUUAUAAGCGAACCCAUUUUCUAUACACCCUUCAAAGGGAAGCUUAAAGUCUAAUUUUUCUUAAAAACAGUAUUGCGAGGAUUGUACAUCAUUUAUUUUUGGUAUUUUGGGUGCAAUACAUUACAAUAGCUCUCCCCCUUCAAAUUUGCUAAUUGUUCUUAAUUUUUAUUUUCUCCUUUGAGAAUUUUGUAUUAGUAGACAAUAAAUUUAGCAUGACGAUAUAUUUCUCGUCGAAGUCCACUGCUUUUUAGCUCAUGUUACUCGAUUAAACUUCAGUCUCAAAAUUGAGGGGACAGGUUUAUGAAUUCUUUUUCUUAUUUGCUUCGUUUUCUGGACAACUUUUGCUUGGCAGCAAUGAUAUUAGAUCUUUUAACAUUCAACCAUCAUCUUUUGUCCACCUCCUUUCUUCUGUACGACCUACCACUUUAGGCCAAGCCAUCUGAGAUGAUAUUUCCUGUAACUUGUUCUUAAUGCAUGUCAUACUUCACCGUCUUAUUGACUGUAUUCUAAUCUCAUAUAUGAUAAACUGGAAAAAAGAGGGAAAUUACUAAUUUAGUGCUCUUCUGAUAAAGUAUAAAGGAAUGUGUAUACGGGCUCCAUAUGCACAGUUUGCUGUGUUGGUUUGCUUGGAUCUUUAAAAUAUAAAUAUAAUAACGUUGUAUGUUUAGAAAUGGUAAUGUUGCCAAUUACUUCUCUCUCCCCUCUCACUCUCGCUCACAUACACAAAUCAACUGUGCCAGAUGAUGCUAGGUGAACUGGAAAAAAGGGGAAUACUCUAUCUUGCAUCAGUCAUUGAACAUCUGAGCAGGUGGUCCACUUCAUGCCGCUUCUGCUGAUCUUAAAGCUCUAGCAGAUAGGUUCAAAGUUGCAACUGUGGGUUGUUGCAUGGUAGAAUGAAGAUUGAUGAAAAAUAGGAGGCACGGAUGAUCUAGAACUGGGAAACAUAAAUAAUCCUUUCCAUUCAAAUAAUGUAUAGAUAUGCCAUAUGCAUUUGUCAUGGUUAUUAUGAAUGUGAGCACUUUAUCUUUGCAAAAAGAGUUGAAUGAGUUGAGCAUGUAGGAGAAUCCCUUUAAAUAACGUAUCUCAGUAAUUUUUUCCCAAACAGGUCUUUGUCUCUUCUUCUUGAGGUUUGUUAUGUCCAUAACCUAGUGCAUGAUAUAGUGCAUUUGUCGAUCAAAAAGUCAGAGUUGGGGAUGGACUCUGUUUCCUCGUACUCUAGGUUAUGCCCACAACUCUUUCGCUUUCAAUACUCAAGACAGGUACGAAUGUUUUUACUCAAAAUCCAAGUGUUUAAAUAUUAAAAACUAUAUAAAAUAUGCAUAUCAUCAUCGAGCUAGGAAGUUCAAAUGUGUAUUAUUAGCAUUGACUGCCAGUAGUCUUAACCAUUUAAACGUGCUGUAGAAGUCCACAGAUGGUUUCCACUUGGCAAAUGCUGAUCUUCUUUUACACGGACGUGGUAACUUGCUUCGCAAAAAGCAAAAAGGACACUUUCCACAAUUUCCUAUUGCAAGGUUGGAUAUCAUAGAUGAGAAUGUUUUGCAAGAAGCACAUGCUUCUCAAUGAUGAUACUAAAUUUAUUGGCAGGCAACAACUUGAUUUGGCUCUUAGCAGCCCAAUUGUGUGUCGUGAUAAUAUGCGAAAGCAUCACGGAUUGGCAUCUCUAUCUGUGAAUCAAAGUAAUCUGCAUGGAACUGGGACAGGCUUGUGUGGAUGAAGCGUAUGGAAUCUGUCAUUCUGAUGCUAUCUAUUGAUGCAAAACAGCAGUCAAUGGUGAUAAAAUGCUUUACUUUUCUGUUGUCUCUGAAAGCUUGAUUCUUAUUGUUCAUCUAGAUAAAAAGCAUUAGCUUUAUGUGGCAUUCAUGACAUGGCUGCAAUUAUCUUAGUAUAAACUUUAAAAUGGAUUCUCGAAAAUAAAAUGCUAAGGUUUUUAGCAAAAAGCUAAUUGGCUGGCAAGCUUGUUCAUCU